UAAUAUAAGCAUGAUAAAAGUAAUAGACGUUUGAAAAUUUGAUAUAUAUUUCCCAGCAAAUCGUGAAAGAAAUUUUUGGAAAGUUUCAUUGACUUAAUGAAACAUUAACCCAUCAAGAUAUCAGGUGUAUCGAGUUAUCGGGGUGCCAUCGAGGCUUGUUCUAACUCCUUUUCGGAUGUCCAAAAGGAUGUGUGGAGAAGUAGUCUUCCGGCAUGUCGGAGUAAUACGUGAAGAAGGCCUACAAGGUAUUCAUGCGAGAUGUAUCACUGAGUUCUUUUAUGCCAACAUAGAUAAAUAUGUUGUUGAUUUUUUCUCCAGAAGCCAUCAUCUGCUCAGAAAUUAUCUUUUUACCAGAUAAAUGUGCAAGAUUCUAAAGCACAAAACUAUAACUCCAGUGGCUUAACUAAUGAAAUUGUAUUGGUCUUAACUCGUUUUUAUAUGAACAAAUAAGACUGCUGUGAAGCACAAUCAAAAGAAACGGACCAAAACAGGAUGGAAAGUGGCGAGGGAUAUAAAAUUGGAGGAGUUAUAAAAUGAUGGGCUCAUUUUGAUAAGUGUAUACGCAUUUUAAAAAAAUAUGUUGUUGGUUUGUCCCGAAACACCUAUGAAUAUUUUGUUCGUUCUAUUCACUAUAAAGUAAUUCGAAGUAAAGAAUUAAGCACCACAUAACUUCACUUACGUCAUUUGAUUCGAGACUUAUGCAAUAAUUCUGGCAGUUGGAGAUUAACAAAAGUGCCAUGGUGAUUUUAAAAAGCAUUCAAUGCCCUGUGAAUUUACAUAAAACAUGGUGGGUACAUGCUUAUUACAAAUUCACUGCCUACAAAUAAAUGGGUGAAAAAGAACAGUACAAGUAUUUGCAGGCUGUGUGAGGAGAAAGAUUCAUUCAUUUUUAAAGUAUCCUUAUUUAUAAAAUUGAAGAAUGAUACUUGGAUAAUAUUUGGACAUUGUUGCUGAGGGGAAUAUCUACUUGUCGUCGAACUAAACGAGAACUAAUAUUAUCACACUGAACUUUGUAUCCUCAAUCUAUAGACUAUUAUCGAUUGACAAGAAACCAAAAGCUCUGGAUGGAAAUUUUAUUGACUCUGAAUGGUCUAUUUAAAAUGAUUAACUAGUUUUAGAUAUGUAAAUACUUUAUUUUGGCAUUUAAAAACUUAUGUUGUUUUGUAUAUCUGUAUUUUAAUUAUUUUAAAUGUUAGUUAUUUUAGGAGGUAAUUCUAUCGCUGUUACUUUUAUGUGUUUACUUUGAGGAUAAUAAACCACACGAACUCUGGCCCAAGAGAAAAAAA
rnacentral:lncRNA from 1 species